AGCGAACGCUGGCGGCAGGCCUAACACAUGCAAGUCGAACGAACCCUUCGGGUUAGUGGCGGACGGGUGAGUAACACGUGGGAACGUACCUUUAGGUUCGGAACAACACAAGGGAAACUUGUGCUAAUGCCGAAUGUGCCCUUCGGGGGAAAGAUUUAUCGCCUUUAGAGCGGCCCGCGUCUGAUUAGCUUGUUGGUGAGGUAAAGGCUCACCAAGGCUACGAUCAGUAGCUGGUCUGAGAGGAUGAUCAGCCACACUGGGACUGAGACACGGCCCAGACUCCUACGGGAGGCAGCAGUGGGGAAUCUUGCGCAAUGGGCGAAAGCCUGACGCAGCCAUGCCGCGUGAAUGAUGAAGGUCUUAGGAUUGUAAAAUUCUUUCACCGGGGAAGAUAAUGACGGUACCCGGAGAAGAAGCCCCGGCUAACUUCGUGCCAGCAGCCGCGGUAAU
rnacentral:rRNA from 1 species